ACGGAAGCGCCAUAGGGAAUAAAUAGGGGAGCAGCGCGUUAUCAAGUAUUUAUGCAAGGGAAGCGGAAGGACGUGUUGGAAGUCUCGGUGGUUGUUCAAAAUUAGAUUAGUUAACUAUAAUGAUUUUGGAAGUAUGACUUCUUUUAAUAGUGUCUGUGUUUCUAUGCAUAGGGCUGUUAGCCGACUUGAUUUAGGAUUUGAAAAGAGUUGAGGGGAACCUAGCCACGUGUAUGCAGUAAUGAGGUGACUGUUUUCCACCGCUGCGCGUGCUGACUAAUGGCGCGCGCGCGGCACGUGGCUGGAAGGGGCGCGUGGUGCAGCGUGGCGCGAACUGAGUCAGUGAGGACUCUCCUGCAAGGAGAAGAACCAGAGAAUCUCCAUGACAGUGGCACAAGAUUGGACUCCAAUCCUUUUCAGUGAAAAUAAACUUGAGUACCACAAUGACUGAGUGGUCUUUGACUGGACACCAGUUAUCUGUGCACCUCCUUUGAACCCGUGGAGUCUGCCUGUGACCCCCGGGCAAGCUGUGGUGCGAGAGCAACAGCGGCUUGUUAUAACUGGGGCUCCUUGGUAGUCUGCCCAAGCUGCCCUUUUAAAAACAAGUCACACCAUACCACCUUACAGUAAAACAUAACUUGGGUAUAUAACCAUGAGAUUAAGUUUUAUGUUUUUAACAUGAGUAUGUUAUAGCUGCAUACGUUCACUCCCCCCUUAACAGCUUAGUUUCAGUUAAAGCUUUACUAGAAGUGAGGAGGGAAGAAACUACACUGAUGCUGCAGCUGAGAUUCCCCUUCCUUCUCAGAACAUGUCAAAAAGUAACAUGGAGAAAUUACCUUACUGGCAUAAAUAGUUUUAAAGACACAAAUAAUUCUACAGAGUUUAUACAAUUGGCUGUGGUGAACAAUGGCAAGACAGAAGUAGUAGUGGACAAACAAGGUGGCAUCACCUGAAAAAGAGCCCCUCGUAAAACGGCUAGGGUUUGCAAUAGGGGCUGCGUUCCACUUUUGGUAAAACUGAGAAGCCUCUGUGAAAAGUGCUUGAUACAAAUGAUGCUCCUGCUCAAAGAAGACCUACUCAUACUGGCUGUUAUUUACUCUUUCCUGUCCUUCACUUAACCCUCAUCUGCUUUUUAUAAAAGUAAGCAUGUGCAUUAACUAACCUCUGUGAUGCCUUCAAAGAGCCAACCAUUAAUGAGCAUCUGCUGAAAUACAGUAUUCUGUGUGCAAAAUGGUUUCAUCAGACAUCAUAUGGAAAAAAGCAAAAACAAGGCAAAUUACAGUCCUCUUUAAAUACAUUCACUAGUGGUGCAAUCUUUAAUCUAGCAUGAUUAAAUUAUGGCAAAAACAAACUACCAUUUUAGAACAACUUACUGAUCUCUGACUGUUCCACAAAGGAACAUUUACAAGUUGAAGGCAUAUCUGCCACCAACACAAAAAGAAAUGUGGCAAAAAGAACAAAAAAAAAAAAAUGCUUGUGAAAUUUAAGUGCAACACAUAACUAAAAAAUAUGCACAUUGGUUUCAGAUAAACAAAUUUGUAAUAUGCAACACUGACAACCUUGAGAUCUUCCAGAGAAAUAUUCCACACGGAAAGGACAGAACAAGUAGAGCAUAGAAGUACGAGUUACAUUUUCUGAGCACCGAGACAAUGAGGCAGAGCUAGUGGAAAUGCGCCUGGGAAAAGCAUCCGCAGCCUUGCAAGCGGAAACCUCAGUCGUCUCCAAAGGUCGGAACGGCACAUCCUGGCACUGGGGGACGGGGAUAUAGCAGCACUGUGCUGCAGCCCCUAGAUUCUUGUAAAGUAUUGUUUUCUAGAAAAUGUUUGUCAUUUUAAGAGUUGACAAUAUCACAGUUUGAAGAUGUGUGUAAAAAGGUUAACAUCUAAUUAGGACAUUUCACACCUCAGGAGGAGGAUAUUGCGGCAGUAGUGCAUUGGAACAGGCUUUGUUGUAUUACUGUAGCUGAUUGCCAUGUAAACAUGGCAACAAAAACAACA